CCUUCUUAUUUCAGACUCUGUCUCACAUGAUACAGAUCCUCACAGCUUAGAAAUGUGCAUCUCAUUUAUGAUACAAAAAUAUAAAAAGAACACAAAAACUAGGAGAUCAUAAUUUAUCUGCAACAAUAUAGAAUGAUUUUGAGGUUAGCUUGUUUGGAGAAAAGAAAAAAAAAAUACUAUGAAAUAUGUAAUUAGAUUUCUAAAAAUCACCCAGAAUUCAUUGCACUUUACCUUUAUACCAAAAACAUGCUUCCACAAUCUGGUGCUUCUGGCAGUUUUCCCUCGACACUUGCUAUUCUGUUUGUCCAACAGUAGCAAAAUGUUUUGUGCACCUUACUUUAGCAUCAUCAGCACCGAUGGAUAAUAACAUGAUAAAUUCUGAAGAAGCAGUAGCUACUACUAUUCACAUAUAUCAAAAGGAAGACCCGUUAAGAAAAUUGCAGUCACCAUAAUCAUUGUAUGUGAGAGCUUAGAAGCUUAAAACUAACAUCAAUUUACAAAUUCAACCCAC
rnacentral:lncRNA from 1 species